CACUCUCUCUCUCGGUCACAUUUCACGGCCGCGGCUCCUUCCGGCGAGACAGCCGGCGACCGGCCUCAUCUCUAUCUGACCUCUGGUCCUCUCUCACCCUCUCGCCUCUGUCUGUCUAUCCGCCGUAAACAGGACGCACGCCGCCGUCAAAGCGGUGCGCCGCCGCUGCCUCCGUCGUCUUCGCGGCAGAUCCGCUGCCGCGUCAAGACCACGACCACCACCUUUCCUCCCUUCGCUCGUUCUCACCUUCUCUCAAUUUCGCACUGACUCACACACACACACACGCACGCAGACACGGCGUAAGCCGCGCCACCGCGUCGUCCUCUUCUCGCCGGUGGACAGACGGCCAGGAGCCGCCGCCUCCGUCGUCCGUCGAAUUCAAGGAACGAAACCACCGCUCCGCCGCCUUCCGUCGACCAUCGGCAGCCACCGCGGCUGCCGUCUCUCUCGGAUCUCACACAAUACAGGGGCUCACCCCAGAUUUCAUUCAAACACUUAGCAUAGGGUUUUUGUGCAAAAACAUAUACUGCAAAGUCAUACACUGUAAAUAUGAAAUUAUAAAUAUCAUGUACUGUAAUGCUUAUAAAAUCUGAAAUUCUUUUCUUGCAAUAAAACACUCAGUGUAGAAAUUUCAGUUCA